rnacentral:lncRNA from 1 species
UUCAUCCUCGUGAGUAAUAGGUUCAUUUCUGCUGUACCACAAUGGGAACUCCUAUAUCAAAUAUUUGUAAAGGGAAGUAUUUUAACUUAUGGCAUUGCUAAGUUAGUAUCUAUUCCAAUUAUCUGUGUUCCUUGGAUUCUAAGGAUUAAUAAGCAAUCCUCUAAGAGAGAAAAGGGGAAAAAAAUCAGGAUGCCAAAAAUUCAACUUCAUUUUCAGUUGCCUUCUUGUAGGUUGGUAUUGAAUCCUUCUGUUUUUGGACAAAAUGUUGCUUCCCUGGGGAAUUAAUUCUGAAGUAUUUUCCCAAUGAGGAAACAACUGUUCUGAUAGCACAUUCAAAUGUCCUUUAUUUUGGCCAACUUCAGCUUAUCUAGAUAAAGUGUCACUCUUUUGUAUCAAUCAUUCUGAUUCCAAUAAAUAUGGUCCUGUCUUGAUUUGCA